rnacentral:rRNA from 1 species
GAUGAACGCUGGCUACAGGCUUAACACAUGCAAGUCGAGGGGAAACGACGGGGAAGCUUGCUUCCCCGGGCGUCGACCGGCGCACGGGUGAGUAACGCGUAUCCAACCUGCCUCUGACUGAGGGAUAACCCGUCGAAAGUCGGCCUAAUACCUCAUGGUAUCGUCUGCGGGCAUCCAACGACGAUUAAAGAUUUCAUCGGUCAGGGAUGGGGAUGCGUCUGAUUAGCUUGUUGGCGGGGUAACGGCCCACCAAGGCUACGAUCAGGAGGGGUUCUGAGAGGAAGGUACCCCACGUUGGAACUGAGACACCGUCCAAACUGCUACGGGCGGCAGCAGUGAGGAAUAUUGGUCAAUGGGCGAGAGCCUGAACCAGCCAAGUAGCGUGCAGGAAGACGGCCCUAUGGGUUGUAAACUGCUUUUAUGCGGGGAUAAAGUGAGGGACGGGUCCCUCAUUGCAGGUACCGAAUGAAUAAGGACCGGCUAAUUCCGUG